GACGAACGCUGGCGGCGUGCCUAAUACAUGCAAGUCGAACGCAGUGGGGACGGGUGCGUACCACGUGGGUAACCUCCCAUCAGAGGGGAUAACACUUGGAAACAGGUGCUAAACCGAUACUGAUGGAUGGACCCGCGGUGCAUUAGCUAGUUGGUGAGGUAACGGCUCACCAAGGCCAGGAUGCAUCGCCGACCGGUGAGGGGGAGAGGCCACACGGGGACUGAGACACGGCGCAGAGGCCAACGGGAGGCAGCAGGAGGGAAGCUUCGGCAAUGGACGAAAGUCUGACCGAGCAACGCCGCGUGUGUGAAGAAGGUUUUCGGAUCGUAAAACUCUGUUGUUAGAGAAGCGGUAUCUAACCAGAAAGCCACGGCUAACUACGUGCCAGCAGCCGCGGUAAUAC
rnacentral:rRNA from 1 species